GGUUGCGUAGCUCAGUUGGUAGAGCAUCUGACUUUUAAUCAGAGGGUCGUGGGUUCAAGUCCCACCGCAGCCACCA
rnacentral:tRNA from 1 species